GACCUUAUAAUAUAACUGGUUAUUAUCCUGCACUUUUAAUGCAGAUAUCAGGGUUCGAGUCCCUGUGGGGUCA
rnacentral:tRNA from 1 species